rnacentral:rRNA from 1 species
GAUGAACGCUGGCGAGAUGCCUUACACAUGCAAGUCGUACGGGGAUUUUUAAUUCAAGUGGCGGACGGGUGAGUAACACGUAAGAAUUUGCCUUUAGGAGGGGGACAACAACUGGAAACGGUUGCUAAUACCCCAUAUGCUUUCGAGUGAAAUGGAUUUUUCCGCCUAAAGAGAAGCUUGCGGCUGAUUAGCUUGUUGGUGAGGUAAUGGCUCACCAAGGCGACGAUCAGUAUCUGGUUUGAGAGGAUGAUCAGACACACUGGAACUGAGACACGGUCCAGACUCCUACGGGAGGCAGCAGUGGGGAAUUUUCCGCAAUGGGCGAAAGCCUGACGGAGCAAUCUCGCGUGGGGGAUGACGGCCUAUGGGUUGUAAACCUCUUUUUUCUAGGGAGGAACAAAAUAGACGUGUACCUGAAGAAUAAGCAUCGGCUAACUCCGUG